UACGUAGGGUGCAAGCGUUAUCCGGAUUUACUGGGUUUAAAGGGUGUGUAGGCGGACUUUUAAGUCCGUGGUGAAAUCUCCGGGCUCAACCCGGAAACUGCCAUGGAUACUAUUGGUCUUGAAUAUUGUUGAGGUGGGCGGAACGGGUCAUGUAGCGGUGAAAUGCAUAGAUAUGACCCGGAACACCGAUUGCGAAGGCAGCCCACUAAGCAAUGAUUGACGCUGAGGCACGAAAGCGUGGGGAUCAAACAGG
rnacentral:rRNA from 1 species